rnacentral:rRNA from 1 species
GACGAACGCUGGCGGCGCGUCUAACACAUGCAAGUCGAACGGAGAACGCGGGACUGAAGCCUUCGGGCGGAUGACUUGUAUUCUUAGUGGCGGACGGGUGAGUAACACGUGAGCAACCUGCCUUCAAGAGGGGGAUAGCACCUGGAAACGGGUGGUAAUACCGCAUAAGACCACAGCAUCGCAUGGUGCAGAGGUCAAAGGAGCAAUCCGCUUGAAGAUGGGCUCGCGUCCGAUUAGAUAGUUGGUGAGGUAACGGCUCACCAAGUCGACGAUCGGUAGCCGGACUGAGAGGUUGAACGGCCACAUUGGGACUGAGACACGGCCCAGACUCCUACGGGAGGCAGCAGUGGGGGAUAUUGCACAAUGGGCGAAAGCCUGAUGCAGCGACGCCGCGUGAGGGAAGACGGCCUUCGGGUUGUAAACCUCUGUCAUUCGGGACGAAGCAAUGACGGUACCGAAGAAGGAAGCUCCGGCUAACUACGUGCCAGCAGCCGCGGUAAUACGUAGGGAGCGAGCGUUAUCCGAAAUUAUUGGGUGUAAAGGGUGCGUAGACGGGAGAACAAGUUAGUUGUGAAAUACCUCGGCUCAACUGAGGAACUGCAACUAAAACUGUACUUCUUGAGUGCAGGAGAGGUAAGUGGAAUUCCUAGUGUAGCGGUGAAAUGCGUAGAUAUUAGGAGGAACACCAGUGGCGAAGGCGGCUUUCUGGACUNGAACUGACGCUGAGGCUCGAAAGCGUGNGGAGCAAACAGG